ACACAUGCAGUCGAGCGCGAAAAGCCUUCGGUGUGAGUACAGCGGCGGACGGGUGAGUAACGCGUAGGAAUCUACCUAGUAGUGGGGGACAACUCGGGGAAACUCGAGCUAAUACCGCAUACGCCCUACGGGGGAAAGCGGGGGACCUUCGGGCCUCGUGCUAUUAGAUGAGCUUGCGUUGGAUUAGCUUGUUGGUGGGGUAAUGGCCCACCAAGGCGACGAUCCAUAGCUGGUCUGAGAGGAUGAUCAGCCACACCGGGACUGAGACACGGCCCGGACUCCUACGGGAGGCAGCAGUGGGGAAUAUUGCGCAAUGGGCGAAAGCCUGACGCAGCCAUGCCGCGUGUGUGAAGAAGGCCCUAGGGUUGUAAAGCACUUUCAAUUGGGAGGAAAAGCUAACGACUAAUACUCGUUAGCCCUGACGUUACCUUUAGAAGAAGCACCGGCUAACUCCGUGC
rnacentral:rRNA from 1 species